GCCACGGGAAACGGCGCGUCGGUUUGAAAGAGUCAACAAACAGCUAGCGACGCUAUCGGUUCAGUUGCUAACACAAGUGACUUAUUUAUUCGGUCAAAUUAUUGUUUAUUAAAGUUUGUUGUUGUUUAUAUUUCAGCUGCGAUGUUUAUUUUACACGUUUCUCUCCUGUAAACCGACUUUACAUUCAGGAAGUUUAGCGGAGUAUUUCAGUACCUCAGGAUCCAGCUGUGCGCAUGAGUGAUGUCCUGUACAGACACUGAGAGACUGAUCCUGCUGCAGGAGCAAGUCAGGAGUCUGAGUCAGGAGCUCGCUCAGUGUCAGGCAGAUAAGGAGUUUGUGUGGUCGCUAUGGAAACGGCUACAGGCGGCGAACCCUGACCUGACGCAGGCCGUGAGUUUAGUGGUGGAGCGUGAGAAACAGAAAGCAGAAGCUAAAGACCGUAAAGUUUUGGAAAUCCUGCAGGUGAAAGACCACAAGAUCCAGGAGUUGGAGAAGGAAGUGAUCUCACAGCGACAGGAACUGAGUGGAUUACUGCAGCAGCAGCAGCGUGCUAGUGAAGUGGAGCAUCAUGUGAUGAAGAAGGAGAUCCUAGAACUUCAGAACACCCUAAGUGAUACAACACAACGCUUACAGGAGUGUGAUGAUGGGUGGAGGAGGUGCUUGGAGGAGCAGCAGGAGCAAAACAGAAAGCAGGAGAUAAACAACACCAGACUCAAGGAGUGUGAUGAUGGGUGGAGGAGGCGGUUUGAGGAGCAGCAGGAGCAGAGCAAGAAGCAGGAGAAGAUAAACAAUGCACGACUCAGGGAGGUGCAGGAGGAGUUGGUGAAGGUUCAAGCCGUCAGCUCAUCUCUCUCUAUUCAGCUCAGUGAGAGAGAGCAGCAGCUCCAGAAGAUAAGGGGGGAGCUGCAAGAUCUUCAGGCUCUGUACGUACAGAGUGUGGCUCAUGCAGGAGAACAGGCAGAUCUCAUCCAGCAGCUGGAAGGUCUCAAUAUGGACACACAGCAGAUCCUACAAAGCCAAGAGAGAGUACACAAUACUCACACUACUUCAUACCACAAGCUGUACAAUGAGCUGAGUGUGUCUUAUCAGGCUCUCCGUCUCAGUGAGGAGCAGCUCCGGCAGAGUCAUGCCUGUCUCACUGAACAGCUUUCUGAGAAGGAAAAGCAGAUCUCUGACCUUCAGGUCCAACUUCAACAUCUCCAACAACCCCAAGCCUGUGAGCAGAAGAUGGAGCAGGAGUGUGUGAAGGCUGCAGAGAGUCAAGAGAGUGUGUUUCACUUCCCGUCUUCUGAGACUCAGAGCUGUGGAACACAUACACAGCAGGCUUCCUGCUCUGUCUCUCCCAGCAGUAGUAAAGCAGCUAAAAAGAAAAUUCAGCAGUUGGAGGAAUUACUGAUUCUUAAGACGGCCGAGAACCAGGAGUUAAGGCGAGCUCAUGCGAAGCGUCACGAUCGUCUGCGUCUGAUUCAGACCAACUACAGAGCGGUGAAGGAGCAGCUGAAGGAGGUUGAGGACACACAGGACUUGUCAAAAGGCAGGACGAGGAGAGCUGAGGUGUGGGAGCUCCGUCAGGAGAACAGUGAUGCAGUUUGGAAUGAGUUGGCCUUCUUUAAAUGCCAGAACAAGAAGCUCCUUGCUGAGAAAGCACAGCUGGAGGAAGAGUUGGAUGUGGUUCGUGUACAAGUGGCCAUGGAGCGAGCUGCAGCGCAGGAGCUGCGUCUGCACGAGGAUCAGCAAGACCAUGAUGAAGAUGAUAAUGAGGACGGAGUGAGCAGUACAUCACUUCCUGUUUACAGACUACAUCACUCUGUUAAAAAGAUAGAAACGCUGGAAAGGAAGAUGGCAUAUCUGGAGAAAGAGACAUUAAAGAUGCAAGAGGACAGGAAGGCACUAAAGGAGGAUAAUGAUUUCCUGCGUGAUGAGCGGGCAAAGCUCCAGGUGAAGAUCCAGGCGGUGCUGCAGCAGGCCCGGGUGCAGGAGGAAGAGACCCAGGCCUGGGUGAGUGCUGAGCGUGGCAGGUUGCUAGGCGAGGCCCAGGCUUUACAGGCCCAGCUGGAGAAAUCCCGCAGAGCAGAGACGGCAUCUCGAGCAGCUUUACUGAGGAUCAGACAGGAAAUGGGAGUGCUGAGGGCUGAGAGAAACUUCCACAGGAACAAGACACGGAGAGGACGAGGACACGGGACACACACCACCACACACACCGUCUCUGUACAGCCAAGGACACACAGCCCAGCCAGGGAUGAGUGGGAGGACAUGAGUCCAGACAGUGAUGGUGAGGAUUUCUCGGACAGUCUGCAGUCUCAACGUGACUUUCGUCCUCCUCCCUCUGUCUCUCACCCGAAGGCCCGCAGAGCACUUCUUAACCGCCGCACACUCACUGCCAAGACUACUGCAGCCACAGCUCACAGCACAGUGUGGCAUCAGGAUGCAGCAAUGAGGAAGAGGAGGACGAUGAUGAAGAGGGGGAGUGUGUGUGUGAUAAACGAAGCAGCGUUCCGUUCUCCUCCAGGUGUGUGUAAGGAUGCAGCAGUCGGGAAGAGGAAGGUGUUGAAGAGGAGACGUGUGUGUGCCGUGUUCACUCAGAGACUGGCAUGUCUGCAGCAGCAGGUUGCAGUUCUGCAGGCGGCCAGCAGGGUGGCUCACAAUGAUCGCCUCAAAUACCAACACACACACAAUGAACUACAGACACUCACACACACACUGCAGAAGCAGUCGUGUGAGCUGGUGAUGCUGCAGCAGCAGAAGUCUGUGUUGGAGGCGGAGUUAGAGCAGUGCAGGAAGUCCUGCCCACCUGAAGCCCCACAACCUGUACGUGACCCUGAGAAGGAUCUCCUGAACAUCAAAACACUGGAGACUGAAAUCAGACAGCUCAACAACAGACUGAAGAGCUCGAGUGCUGAGGUGAACCGUCAGAGCACUUUGAUUAAAGGCCUCAGGACGGAGCUACAUGACCGAGACCAACGCCUUAAAGAGCUACAAGACAAGGUGUGUCACUGUGAGAGGGAUGUGGUGAUGAAGAGACAGUUGGUAGAGGAUCUGCGCAGUCGGCUGAAGGUCCUGCAGGAUUCUGAGCGCAGUCAUCGCUUACACAUUGACGAGCUGGACAGAAAAGUAAAGAGUCAGUGUGAGGAGGCGUCCAACAGGAAGUCAUUUAUUGAGUCUCUGAAGAGAAGGCUGAGCGUCGCUACACACGACAAACAGCAGUGUGAGAACACCAAUAACACACUCCGAGACCAGCUACACACCAAGGAGCAAAAGCUCACAUUGCUGCAGGCUCGGUUGGUGGAGUGUGAGAGGUCAAAAGUCGAGCUGGAGCAGACAGCGAAAGCACAGAUGCAGCUUCUGACCAAUCAGAGCACAGAGACGAUACACACACUGCAGAACAAACUCACACUGACACACACUCAACACCAGCACCUGCGUUCUGUCAUGCAGGUUCUGGCCAUGGACUUGGACAAAGAGGUGAAGGAGACCAGAGCUGAGCUGAGGAAGAGAAGGAGAGAGAGGAAAAAGAAGGAGGGAUCAGAAAGAGGAGUGUCCAAAAGCUCCAUGGUGAAAGCUCAGUCCAUUGCUGCAUCUAUCCUCAAUGUCAGUGCUCACGACCUGGCGAGCAUCCUGGAUACAGCCCAGGAGGAAGACAGUGACGAAGAAGCAGAUGGUGUUUGGUUGGAUCAUAUACAGCAGCUCUUACAGCAUCAGUCCUGCCUCAGGCUCAGAAAUACUGCUGUCAUUUAAUUGGCCUGUAAAGCACCUGUACAUUGUUGUGAGUCGUGUCCCAGCGUCCCCUCGGACCCGGCGGUCGAUAGCGGAUCAGUGGCACUGCUCCAGGGCAAUGUGUGGAUCAGAGCCAGAGUGUUUCUGUAGGUGAGAUGUUGGAUGUUCUGCAGGUGAAGAUGAAGGAGAGCAGGUUGCUGAUGGAAGAACUCUUCAAUCUGAGAGAGAGACACUGAUCACGUUCAUGCAGGACAAACAUCUUUCACAUCUCUUUCAUUCUAUUCAUCCACAUCUCUCAAUCUCUUUAUCACUACAUCUAUUCAUCCACAUCUGUCUUUCUUCGAAAUCUAUCCAUCCACAUCUCAGUUGUGAAGUGUGUAGAUGUGAUUUAAGUGAUUCUUGAUCAAACACUCAUCGCACAGGUGUGUGUUUGUGUGUGUGAUUAAGAGUCAUGUGCCUGUACAGGUGUGUGUGUGUGUGGGUGUGGGUGUGUGUGUGCACGUGUGUUUGUGUGUGUGAUUAAGAGUCAUGCGCCUGUACAGGUGUGUGUGUGUGUGUGUGUGUGUGUGUGUGUGUAUGUUUACAUGAUUAAUACCUACAUGAAUUAAACUCAUUUAUGGAGUGUGUUUAUA